UCCCUGUAGUUUAAACGGUAAAGAAUCUGCCUGCAAUGCAGGAGACCAAGGUUCAAUCCCUGGGUCGGGAA
rfam:TPA: Bos taurus chromosome 6, whole genome shotgun sequence.